rnacentral:lncRNA from 1 species
CCCGAUUUUUUUCCCUGACAAAGUCCCUUCUCAUUUUUUUUGCUGAUACCAUCUCCCCAUGUCCUCGGAGCUGAUAUAAGCUAUUCACACUUCACUCUCUUCCUCCUCACUGUCAGCACGCCGACACGCUACUCCCGCCCCAUCUCACUUGGUCUUAUGCACAGGUAAGAGCUCCGGACUACGCAUUACAUCGUGUGGAUAGUCACCAGCCGGUCAGACUCCGAAAUCGAGCGACUUCUUUCACAGGUAUAUUAGCAUGCUUGAGGUCACUAGUAAAAUCCAGCAUUCAUUUUUAUGCAAACAAAGCAACAUGGUUGAGAAGCUCAGAUAAGAUCUCUUUUUUAGCCAAUUCAGCACCUUAAUUCUCCAGAUAAGAUCACGACUAAGACCAAAACAAAAAAUUGGUAACAUGGAUCCUCACAACAUCAUAGGCUCAGUUCAUCUCUUGGCAUUAUACUUCCACAAUAGUUAGGGGAUAUAGAACACAACAUACAGUGACUAGCCGAACAUCCUUUCACAACACUGAACAAUCUCGCUAAUACUGCUGCAUCCGCUGGAUUUUGCUACUAAUACAGAAAAGAUAAAUUUGUUUCUACACCAAAAGGGCACUAGAGGAAAUCCUCUCCUCAAGAACCACCAGCACCACCACCUGGGCCCUCAUUAGCUGGCUUGCGGUUCAGGUAUCUUAUAACAGCAUCCUCAACCCUAUUUCAUCGUGGAACCAAAAUCACAUUGUCAGCACAUGGAUACAUGAUGUUCAAGAAAAAAAGGAGGUCAAUCGUAGGUAUUGUUAGAGCUUACCAUGGUUGGUUGUAGAAAUCUGCGCGUCUUUCCUUUUCAAUGUUCCUAUUCGCUUCGCCGGCGACCAGCUUCAAAUCUUUGCUCUGAGAAGCUAUCAGGCCGUUAAUGAACUCCACCGGGGACUGACUGAAACCCAGGAAGAAAGCCCUCCUCCUGCGGUGCUCAUGGAUCUUCUUGAUCGAGGCAGAUAUCACAUCGUCGCAGGCCUCAAUGUCCUUGUGCUUCUCAGUGUUGGCAAGGAAUGCCAUCAUCUCCUUCUGCAGCGGGAAGGGCACAUCCACCAGCACAUCAUAGCAAGCACUUGCGGAAGCUCCAUUGCCUGAUAGCUUAAUCUUGUGCUCCAAGUUGAUGGGCGGUGGGGCAGACAGAUGCUGAGAUAUCUUCUGCGACAGCAUUGCAAACUUCAGUUUAUCCUCCCCAAACACCUUCUUCAAUUGAGGGUCACACAUGAAGAAGGAAGGGUCAUUUGGGUUCUGAAGCUUCUUCGCCUUGAUGUACUGCCAGAGGGCAGCAAUCACCCGCGCGCGAGUGUCCACCUCAACCCCGAGCACCUCCAUCAGCGGCUGUGACAGCUUAAACUUCUCAGGGUUGUAGUUCAUCUCCAGCCGGAUGUUUGCAACAAACUCCUUAUCCCCUUUCCUCUUCACCUCGAAACCUUCCUGCUGGGCGGCAGAACGCGCAUUUUCCCAGAUGAUCAGUGGGUUUUCAGGGUACAGCUGUGGGUCCAGCGCAAUGGUCACCCUCUUGAAGAAUUGGGAGAACUUCGGGUACACCGGGUUGUGCUUGGGCACCACGCUGGCAGGGUCCAGCUCGGCGCCAUCCUCGAGCACGCGGCCGAUGAUCUUGAGCGACCAGGUGGGCGGGUCGGCGUUCUUGGGCGGCGGGAUGGCGCGCGGGCCCUGGUUGGCGAAGGUGUUGAAGACGUAGAUGCGGAGCGUGCGCUGGAGUGAGGGCGGCGUCUUGAGCGCCUCCUGGAUGUCCACUUUCUUCCGCGCCAGCGCCGCGUCCACGCGGGCCUCGAACUCGAGCAGCUGCGUGUAGAGCGCGGACUCCGGGAGCAGCGCGGCGACGCGGUCCGGGAGCUGCUUCUCCGGGAGCUUGCGCUUCUUGUUGCGUCGCGCGGCGGGGGUGAGGUCGACGCCUCCGGAGUUCGCCACGGCCGCCGCCGCCGCCGAAGCCUUGUACGCGGCAGCUGCCGAAGCUGCCGCGGCGGCCGAGGUAGACCCGGGACCCGGGGGCCGCACGGGGGGCUUCUGCGGGGGGCGCUUGGCCGAUUGCGCCGCCGCCGCGGCGGCGGCCGCCAUGAGCGGGGUCUGGGGCGAGGAGGCGCCCAUGUGGAUCUGGAAGGCGGGGUUGUGGGACGGCGGCGUGUGGAAGAGGCCCUGGAACGGGGAGCCGGCGAGGGAGGGUGGGCGGAGGUGGGUCAUGGGCGUCGCCGGGGAGCCGCCCGGCUGCGGCUGCUGCUGGGGAUGCGGCGGGCGCGGCUGGGGCGGGCCGCCGGUCGGGUUGGGGUUGCCGCCGGAGGCCAUGGCGGCGACGGCGGCGGCAAGCGCGAGAUCGGAUCUCGGUGGGGGUGGGGAACUGGGGAUUGGGGAAGCUAGGGUUUGGUGGCCCGUUGGCGUUGCAUAUCCGAUGGAACAGCCACCGGAUCGGUAUUGGACGGACAGGAUCUGCGCGUGAGCAUCCACAUCAGCAAAUGUUUCCAAAACCCCCUAGGGAAAGUGUAGCAUUUGAGAAGGAAGUCCUGGUCCAUAUCACAUUCACAAUCACAUCCCUAGAUUUGUUCCCCUUCACAUUCCAGAUCCCUCCCUCUUCUCUGAAAACGACGACAAUCCAAUUGUUUGCAACUCAUUGUCAAGUGCGUAAUAGCCAUACUGAGUGGUGUGCAAAUCAUUAUUAGUACAAGAUUAGACUACAUUUGCAGGGUUGCUCUAGAAUGAUGCCCUACUAUGCUAUAUCCAUUUUCUAGUUUUAGGUUCGUAGAUGUGCAAUGUCAUAACCACAAGCGCUUCUUAUUGGUGCCUUUUGGCAUGCCAUCUGUUAUAUAUUUCCUUGUGUUCUAGUACAAUAGUGUAGAUCAACAAUUGUUUUUUUUUGUUAAGCUUUUACAUUCCAUUGCUAGAUGUGACUAUUUCAUAGAGUUAAGCAUGUACUAGCUUAUGUUGUGUAGUAGAUUGAUGCUAGGUUGCACUCAGCUUGAUCAAUCAAAGGGUAGCUCUGUUCUUCUUUUAUUGUCAGGUCUUGUGCUAGUGAUGUUUCUGUUUUCUCCACAUCAGAUCAGUGGGCUGUACAACCAAUGGACAGUCUUGUGCAGAGAUUUGGCUGGACAAAUUGCGGUGGGAGCGGAUGUUCCUCGACAGCGUCCACGCACAAUGUGUUUUUCAACUUGAUAUUGUACUGUGAAACUACAAUGUGUGGGGUUCAGAGAAGAAGCAAUGUCUUCCACAGUUUACUCUUGCUUACCAUUGGCUACUUGCUUGCAGAUAGCAUGCCAUCUCAACCAUUGCUGUGAAAUAAUGUAAGAGAUUUCAGAGGACAAAAGGUCUUCUAGGUUUGUCCCGCUGGGAUAAGGGAUGAGGACUCAUGCAGGUUUACCAAUGAUGGCAUGGCAGAACAGCAUAACGUCUUAAAUGAAGAGCGGUGGAUUAGCACUGAUAUGUUAAAUCAAACUAGUUUCUUCUCAAAUCGCUUUGAGAGUUAAAUUCCCGUGAAUCCACGAUUCGUAGCAAAACCGGGAACUACCCGCCGUUCAAAUCAAAUCAUUAUAUAUGCAUAAACCAUGACAAACUCAAUGGAAUACCGGCACGCUGCACGACCGACGGCGUUUGGGGAGAAGCCCCCGCGGAGGAAGAGGCAAAGAGACGUUUCAACCUCUACAUCCAAGAUCGAAUCGGGGUGGUGCUUGCCACGACGGGGGACCUGGUGAGGCUGACGCCCUACAGCAAGUUCACGGUGUUGUUCAACUAUGUGGAGCGGCUGAGCCUGAACAUGGCGAAGAUGAGAGUUCACAGGUGGGAGGAGUACCGGGGGUGUCCGGAGACCGUGCAUGGCUACCUAAUCAAGUAUCGACCACAAUUUAUUCCUUCUCUAUAUUCCUUCUCUCAUGGCAGUUCACCAGCGAAAAGGUAAGUAAAGAUCUUUAGCAAGAGGUCUAACAAAAAUAUCAGCC